ensembl:lncRNA LINC01630 long intergenic non-protein coding RNA 1630
UUUUUUUUUUUUUUUUUUUUUUUUUCUCAUUUCAUGAGGCACCCUAUACCAGCAGUAAAAUGUUUCUUAAAUCAGAGGAAAGAAUUGACCUUACAGUUUCCUUUUUUUUCUGAGAUGGAGUCUCACUCUGUCUCCCAGGCUGGAGUGCAGUGGUGCAAUCUCGGCUCACUGCAACCUCCGCCUCCCGGGUUCAAGCGAUUCUCCUACUUCAGCCUCCCAAGUAGCUGGGAUUACAUGUGUGUGCCACCACAGCCAGCUACUUUUUGUAUUCUUAGUAGAGACAGGGUUUCGCCAUGUUGGCUAUGCUGGUCUCAAACUCCCAACCUCAGGUGAUCCGCCAGUCUUGGCCUCCCAAAGUGCUGGCAUUACAGGUAUGAGCCACUGCGCCCGGCCAGUUACUUUUAAAACUUGAUCUAGAACGCUCUUGAUUUUGGAAUUAUAAUGCUUAAUAUUUUCCUCAAUUAUGACUGCCCAGAUUUAGCCAAGGGCAAUUAGAAGAGGAAAGACUGACUUCAUCUUGACCCCUGGGGCCAGAGCUACUAUAGCAAGGCCAACUUCAACCCGUAUGGAAGAUGUGGCUGCUGAGAGCUUCCUAUAGAGCCCCUGACAUAGGAUAAAGGGAAAAUAUGUCUGUUUUAAAUCAUACUAACAUUGUGAUAAAGUAAUAUUAUGUCCUUUGAAGGACCUAAAAUAGUGCUAAAUUGUAUCAUGACCAAGAAACAUUUGUUUAGCAUUUACUCUGUGCCAGGCACUAAACUAGGUAUGAAGGAUAUAAAACUAAAUAAGGUGUAAUGUUUGUCUUCAAAGAGUUUCUUUAUCCUGCAAGAAAUUAGAGAUGGCUAAAUUUAAAAAAAUUUUUAUUAAUGUAUUUUUAAUUUUUUUUUUAAUUCAUAAAAUCCAGAUCCUGCACAAGAUAGCUGGACUUCUCUAAGGAAUCAGAAUUACAAGGAAAACAUAUUGAUUUUAUCCCUUUGUUAGUGAAAAUAAUACAUUCAGAUUUGAAAUGGUCAAUUGUUCACAGUGAUUUUUGGCUGUUAUGAAUAAAGCUGUUAUGAACAUAUGUGUAAGUCAUUGCAUGGACAUAUAUUUUCAUUUCCCUUUGGCAAAUACCUUGGAAUGGGAAUUGUUAGAUCACGUAAUAUGUAUAUAUUUACAUUUAUGAGAAACUGCCAAACUUUCUGAAAUGGUUGUCCUGUUUUACACUCCUGCCUGUAAUGCAUGAGAAUUCUAGUUGAUUCAUAUGGACACCAACACUUAGUAUUAUUAGUCCUUUCACUUUUAAUCAUUCUAGUGGAUGUGCAGAGAUAUUUCAUUGUGGUUUUAAUUUGCAUUUCCAGGUAACUGUUGAUAAUGAGCAUCUUCUUAUGUGCUCAUUGGUCAUUCAAAUAGCUUAUUUUGUAAAGUGUCUUUUGCUCAUUUUGAAAUUGUAUUGUUUGACUUAUUGAGUUGUAGUGUUCUUUAUAUAUUUUGGAUACAAGUCCUUUGCCAUGUAUGUAAAUUGUAAAUAUUUUCUCCCAGCCUGUGCUUUACGUUUUCAUUUUUUCAGCAGUAUUUUUCAGUAAACAAGAGUUUAAAGUC